rnacentral:rRNA from 1 species
AGAGCUUGCUCUCUGGGUGGCGAGUGGCGGACGGGUGAGGAAUACAUCGGAAUCUACUCUGUCGUGGGGGAUAACGUAGGGAAACUUACGCUAAUACCGCAUACGACCUACGGGUGAAAGCAGGGGACCUUCGGGCCUUGCGCGAUUGAAUGAGCCGAUGUCGGAUUAGCUAGUUGGCGGGGUAAAGGCCCACCANGGCGACGAUCCGUANCUGGUCUGAGAGGAUGAUCANCCACACUGGAACUGAGACACNGUCCAGACUCCUACGGGAGGCAGCAGU